rnacentral:rRNA from 1 species
UACGAAGGGGGCUAGCGUUGUUCGGAUUAACUGGGCGUAAAGCGCGCGUAGGCGGGUUUUUAAGUCGGGUGUGAAAGCCCUCGGCUCAACCGAGGAAGUGCGCCCGAAACUGCAUGGCUUGAGUACCGGAGAGGAUGGCGGAAUUCCCCAAGUAGAGGUGAAAUUCGUAGAUAUGGGGAGGAACACCGGUGGCGAAGGCGGCCAUCUGGACAGAUACUGACGCUGAGACGCGAAAGCGUGGGGAGCAAACAGG